rnacentral:rRNA from 1 species
AAUCUUAGACAAUGGGGGCAACCCUGAUCUAGCCACGCCGCGUGAGCGAUGAAGGCCUUCGGGUUGUAAAGCUCUGUGGAGAGGGACGAAUAAGGGCUGGCGAAUACCCAGCCUGAUGACGGUACCUCUUUAGCAAGCACCGGCUAACUCUGUGCCAGCAGCCGCGGUAAGACAGAGGGUGCAAACGUUGUUCGGAAUUACUGGGCGUAAAGCGCGUGUAGGCGGCUAUGCAAGUCGGAUGUGAAAUCCCGCGGCUCAACCGUGGAAGUGCAUCCGAAACUGCGUGGCUAGAGUCCCGGAGAGGAAGGUGGAAUACUUGGUGUAGAGGUGAAAUUCGUAGAUAUCAAGUGGAACACCGGUGGCGAAGGCGGCCUUCUGGACGGUGACUGACGCUGAGACGCGAAAGCGUGGGUAGCAAAC